rnacentral:rRNA from 1 species
AGCGAACGCCGGCGGCAGGCCUAACACAUGCAAGUCGAACGAACCUUUCGGGGUUAGUGGCGGACGGGUGAGUAACACGUGGGAACGUGCCUUUAGGUUCGGAAUAACUCAGGGAAACUUGUGCUAAUACCGAAUGUGCCCUUCGGGGGAAAGAUUAAUCGCCUUUAGAGCGGCCCGCGUCUGAUUAGCUAGUUGGUUGAGGUAAUGGCUCACCAAGGCGACGAUCAGUAGCUGGUCUGAGAGGAUGAUCAGCCACAUUGGGACUGAGACACGGCCCAAACUCCUACGGGAGGCAGCGGUGGGGAAUCUUGGGAAAGGGGCGAAAGCCUGACGCAGCCAGGCCGGGGGAAUGAUGAAGGGCUUAGGAUGGAAAAAUUCUUUCACCGGGGAAGAAAAGGACGGAACCGGGAGAAAAAGCCCCGGCUAACUUCGG